rnacentral:miRNA from 1 species
UGUGUGUGUGUGUGUGUGUGUGUGUGUGUGUGUGUGUGUGUGUGUGCCGGGCACACCACACUCUCCAACCA